rnacentral:lncRNA from 1 species
UACCACAAUUUAUCCUCACGCCUCACUUUAAUUCUUUUAAUCAAAGUUAGCGUCGGAAAUCAGAAACUUCUCUUUACUUUUCGUUUCGCGCCCAAUUUGCGCCGAAACACUUAUUUAUCUCUAGAAUUCAUUCUCACGCGUCCACAAUCACUCGGGGAAGAUGUCCAAAUAGCUCAAUCCUCACUUUGAUCCCCUAGAUCAAAGUUAGCAUCGCAACUCAAGGUUUCCAUAUAUUACAAUUAAUAUAUAAAUCUAUCUUAAUUAAUCUCUAAUAGAUUUAAAUAUUAAUCUUAAUCUAGUUAGGUUUAUCCUUUAAUUAAUAUUUAAAUCUUAAUUUAUCUCCAACAGAUUUAAAUAUUAAUUCUAAUCCAAUUAGGAUUCAACUACAAAUCUAACCAAAUCCUAACAGGGAAGUCAU